rnacentral:lncRNA from 1 species
CUACUCGGAUGCCAUUGGCUUAGAGACCUGUGAGUUUUCCUGCUUCAUCCAAUCCUCUGUCAACACAUGAUCAAGCUCUCCAAAUAGUAGGUUCUAGAACUCCCCAGAAUGAACCUAGUAAAGCCAGUGAAACCAAACACCCAAGUCAAGUCCAGUCAAGCUCUUUAUUCUGUACUGGAGAGGAAUUCGGAACCACCCAAGAAAUAUCAUCUCCCAUCCUAAAUAUCAAGAUUACCCUUGUAGAUCAAGUGUGUGCCACCCCACCCACUUCCCUCCCUGCUCUCAGAAGAAGAUUCUAGAUUGCUUCAGUGCCUCUUUACUUAAUCCCUCUCACUCACAUUCAACUUCACCAAGCUCAGAUCUGAGAGGAAAAACAGAGUGAAGGGUAGAAGUGUAGUGUGUGUGUCUGAUUAGCAAUGGCGGGAGGGGGAGGGGGAGAGGGAGAGGGAGGCCCAGCAAAAGAGAGCAUUUUUGUGAGUGUUUCGAACAAGAUAGAUGAAGCUUACAAUUGGGUGAAAGCCAAACUGAAUUCACUCUUCAAGCUCUUCUCUGAGUCCAUCACUGAAGCUCUUCUGGGGCUCAGAUCUUUUGUCACAUCUUGCUGUGAAAAACUCAGGGAAGUGCUUUCAGGGAUCAACACCCAGCUGGACAACUUGUCUGGGAAGAAAAUGGUGGUUGGGAUGGUUCCUGAGGAGAGUUGUCUUCAGGGUGAGAUGAAGAUGCUGGUUCAGAAGAUGAGGGCGUCGGUGGAACAAUGGUCGGGGGUUGGGAACAGCCCUGAAAUGAAGGCUGCACACCUGACAUCGAAUUGGUUUCUUGAUUUGGUUGAAGGGUUCAUUGAGUUGUUGGAGUAUGCCUACAAGCAGCCUUUGACCCUCAUACCUGUUCUUCUUGAAGGCUAUUUUAUAUACCGAAGCAGUUACAAGAAGGCUGGUGGAGUGAGGAGAGCUAUGAGGGGUCAAGGGAAAGCUGCCAUGACCAUUUUUACUCUAAUAAAUUUGAUUGUAUCAUCAACUAUCCUCUUCUAGUUUAGGGUGAGGUUUAUGUAGGGUUCAUGUGAAGCUGAGCUUUUGUUAGGAUGUCUGAAGUUGUCCCUUCCUGUGUUGUGUCAUGUGUGUUGAUGACUGUAAAAAUUACUACUAUAUUAUAAUAAAUUGUAAUACAUCUCUGAUGUCUUUUCAUAUUGAUCUGGAUGGACUGAGUUGUGUUCUUAUUGCCAUUUGUGUCUCAAGUGGCUUGUUGAGUUGAGAUCAAAUUGGUGAUCAAUUUGGGUUGAGGAAUGGGGAUCUCACAUGGUAAUGAAAAGAAAAAGUUG